UACAGAGGUCUCAAGCGUUGUUCGGAUUCAUUGGGCGUAAAGGGUGCGUAGGUGGCGGGGUAAGUCAGGUGUGAAAUCUCGAGGCUCAACCUCGAAACUGCACUUGAUACUGCCUUGCUCGAGUACUGGAGAGGAGAUUGGAAUUUACGGUGUAGCAGUGAAAUGCGUAGAUAUCGUAAGGAAGACCAGUGGCGAAGGCGAAUCUCUGGGCCGAUACUGACGCUGAGGAGCGAAAGCGUGGGGAGCGAACAGG
rnacentral:rRNA from 1 species